rfam:Microsporidia sp. TGP3 contig-77, whole genome shotgun sequence.
UCCGCAUUGGUCUAGUGGCUAGGAUUUCUCGCUUUCACCGAGGCGGCCGGGGUUCGAUUCCCCGAUGCGGAA